ensembl:miRNA
CAGAGAAACCCAGAGAGCAUCAGGACAGCCAUGAGGCUGCUGACUGGGGCUGAUCUGUG